GACGAACGCUGGCGGCGUGCUUAACACAUGCAAGUCGAACGGAAAGGCCCUGCUUUUGUGGGGUGCUCGAUUGGCGAACGGGUGAGUAACACGUGAGUAACCUGCCCUUGACUUUGGGAUAACUUCAGGAAACUGGGGCUAAUACCGGAUAGGAGCUCCUGCUGCAUAGUGGGGGUUGGAAAGUGUCGGCGGUUGUGGAUGGACUCGCGGCUUAUCAGCUUGUUGGUGGGGUAGUGGCUUACCAAGGCUUUGACGGGUAGCCGGCCUGAGAGGGUGACCGGCCACAUUGGUACUGAGAUACGGCCCAGACGCCUACGGGAGGCAGAAGUGGGGAAUAUUGCACAAUGGGCGGAAGCCUGAUGCAGCAACGCCGCGUGCGGGAUGACGGCCUUCGGGUUGUAAACCGCUUUCGCCUGUGACGAAGCGUGAGUGACGGUAAUGGGUAAAGAAGCACCGGCUAACUACGUG
rnacentral:rRNA from 1 species